AACGAACGCUGGCGGCAUGCCUAACACAUGCAAGUCGAACGAGACCUUCGGGUCUAGUUGCGCACGGGUGCGUAACGCGUGGGAACCUGCCCGUAGGUUCGGAAUAACUCCCCGAAAGGGGUGCUAAUACCGGAGAAUGUCUUCGGACCAAAGAUUUAUCGCCUUUGGAUGGGCCCGCGUUGGAUUAGCUAGUUGGUAGGGUAAAAGCCUACCAAGGCGGCGAUCCAUAGCUGGUCUGAGAGGAUGAUCAGCCACACUGGGACUGAGACACGGCCCAGAAUCCUACGGGAGGCAGCAGUGGGGAAUAUUGGACGAUGGGCGAAAGCCUGAUACAGCAAUGCCGCGUGAGUGAUGAAGGCCUUAGGGUUGUAAAGCUCUUUUACACGGGAUGAUAAUGACAGUACCGGGAGAAUAAGCUCCGGCUAACUACGUG
rnacentral:rRNA from 1 species